UCGGUAAGUAAAAUAUAUGGAACAGACACAACACUUGCCUAGGAAUUAAUCUGUAUCUUUGGCUAUGACAUCGACAGUAACCUUAUUAAACAUUUAUAUCAAUUUUCUAUAUGUAUUUACGAAAACUAAUCGUAACGGGCGAAUAGACAUUAUAAUAUAUCUUACUUCCGCUUCGCAACGGUAAAUACAAAAAUCAACAAAUAAAGUUAAAACCCAUUUCCACUGUGAUCUUGACCAAAUACAAGUAGCAUUGCACAUUUGGAAUUUUUAAGAAAGAGGGAAGAUAUAACGAAGAGUAAAAAUAGAACAAGUAACGACUGAAGAUAUAACGCAGAUUUGUGUUAAAAAGUACGGUGUAUAUCAGAAAAAAAGUGGACAGGUUGCCAAAUACGGCAUAAACUAAGAGUUAUGGAGCGUGACUCGCGGAUACGAACUGAGACCCCCCUUACAGAGAUGAUUAGUAGU